GCUGUGGCUCAGUGGCUAGAGCAUCUGCUUUGCAUGCAGAAGGUCCCAGGUUCAAUCCCUGGCAUCUCCA